rnacentral:lncRNA from 1 species
GUCACACGUGGACAUAAUGGGGUCUCACGUAGAAAUAAUGGGGUCACACGUGGCCCUAUAGGGUUGCAUGUGGCCCUAUGGGGUCACACAUGGACAUGAUGGGGUCUCACGUGUGUCUGUGGGGUUACAUGUGAAUCUAAUGGGGUCACACGUGGACAUAAUGGGGUCACACGUGGCCCUAUAGGGUCACAUAUGGCUCUGUGGGGUCACACGUGGAUAUAAUGGGGUCACAUGUGGAAAUAAUGGGUCACAUAUGGCUCUAUGGGGUCUCACGUGGACUUAAUGGGGUCACAUAUGGCUCUGUGGGGUCACACGUGGAUAUAAUGGGGUCACACAUGCACUUAAUGGGGUCACAUGGAAAUAAUGGGGUCUCAUGUGGACACAAUGGGGUUUCAUGUGGACUUAAUGGGGUCACACGUGGAUAUAAUGGGGUCACACGUGGCCCUAUAGGGUUACAUGUGGCUCUGUUGGGUCUCACAUGGACAUAAUGGGGUCACACGUGGCCAUAUAGGGUUACAUGUGGCUCUAUGGGGUCACACGUGGACAUAAUGGGGUCACAUAUGGCUCUGUGGGGUCACACGUGGACAUAAUGGGGUCUCAUGUGGACUUAAUGGGGUCACACGUGGCCCUAUAGGGUCACAUAUGGCUCUAUGGGGUCACACGUGGAUAUAAUGGGGUCACACGUGGACAUAAU